AUCAUACUAAAAAGUGCCAAUAUGAUAUUUCACAGGUAAGAAAGAAAAUAUUAGUUUAUCACAGAUGAUAGCAAAUUAUCACAUAGAUGUCAGAAACACUAAGCUAUCCACUGAAUGAAUGACCAAACAGAAAUCUUUAACUAGCUCACCACUCCCUCUUGCUUAGCAACCUCAUAACGGUUACAAGCAUAGAAACCACCUGUCCUCUCACCAUGAUCAGCCCAUGCACCUAGGCAUAGCCUGCA